GAUGAACGCUAGCUACAGGCUUAACACAUGCAAGUCGAGGGCAGCAUGAAGUCAGCUUGCUGACUUUGAUGGCGACCGGCGCACGGGUGAGUAACGCGUAUCCAACCUUCCCCUUACUCAGGAAUAGCCCGUUGAAAGACGGAUUAAUGCCUGAUGUUCUCUAUUUCCGGCAUCGGUAAUAGAGCAAAGAUUCAUCGGUAAGGGAUGGGGAUGCGUAUGAUUAGCUUGUUGGCGGGGUAACGGCCCACCAAGGCAACGAUCAUUAGGGGUUCUGAGAGGAAGGUCCCCCCANACUGGAACUGAGACACGGUCCAGACUCCUACGGGAGGCAGCAGUGAGGAAUAUUCGGGUCAAAUGGAGGCAACUCUGAACCAGCCAAGUAGCGUGCAGGAC
rnacentral:rRNA from 1 species